CAAAGUGUAGCUUAAAACUAUAAAGCGCCUGACU
rnacentral:tRNA from 1 species